ensembl:lncRNA
CACACUUACAUAGAGUGGCAUGCAUAACGUGAGCCAAAAAUGGCAUUAAUGCAUUUUUCUUCUGCAGCUUUGGAAUGAUGUGGAUGUGCGUUGCCUCGGAGAAUGCUCUGUUUUCUAUUCCUGAGUUUGAUGCUGUGCAGCUGGGAAGCCACGUUUCACAGGUGGUUGGUCAUUUCUUAUACACAGGAAACGAGAACAGGAUGGUGAAGUUUGCUUGAAAUAUCUCUUCUUGCCUGGGAGAAAACACAGACUGCUGACUCAGGCUGUGCUCACAAACACGCCAAAUGCUGCAAAAUAUAUAGCCUCAGCACUCCUCCAGAUGCACGCCUUCCCACCCUGUCUGCCAUGACAUGUCUGCACAAUCAGCCACUUUGGAAGUCACCCAUCUUGAAGAGCUGCUCUUCAGAAUAUCAGACGGAAAGGACUUUACCAACAUUUGGGAAGCCAGAGGGUGGUUGAGGUUGAGUACGUACAACCAGUGCAAGCCAGAGCUGUAACAGGUGCUGCCUGUGUGGCAAAUGUCCCUCUCAUCAUGUUUGAUUGGUACACAUGGAGAUUGCCAUGAGUGCUGCUCCUCGGUGACCUUUCACUUGCGGGCGGAAAUGAACUUCUCUGCUUCAUCCUGACAUCUGCAAGCAAGAUGAGAAAUGGUCACCAGAUACUCUCAUCCCCUGACGGUUACCUGAUCGUUUCUGCACACGCUGCCAGGAGGUUUCCAUCUGUAGAUCUUAAGAAGCCCAAAGUUAUGCCUUUCUAUGCUGGCUCCAGACAAUCAG